rnacentral:rRNA from 1 species
GACGGAGGAUGCAAGUGUUAUCCGGAAUCACUGGGCGUAAAGCGUCUGUAGGUGGUUUGAGAAGUCCACUGUUAAAAAUUGAGGCUUAACCUCAAAGAUGCCGUGGAAACUUUCAAACUUGAGUAUGGUAGGGGUAGAGGGAAUUUCCAGUGGAGCGGUGAAAUGCGUAGAUAUUGGAAAGACCACCGAUGGCGAAGGCACUCUACUGGGCCAUUACUGACACUGAGAGACGAAAGCUAGGGGAGCAAAUGGG